UCCUUUUCAUUUACUGUUGGUGGAAAUAAAUAAGUAUUUGUAUUAAGAAGUUCAAUGCUUGCAGCCUCUAGGCUCGUUGAAAAGGAAGCUGGCUGCGAUAGUCUCGAGGUUAGUUUGUGCGAACUAUUCAUUCGUCCCUCUAUCACUGUCUUUUUCACACUGUUUUCUUAUUGCAUGGUCUGUCAUGUACAAGUUGUUGAGUUUUCAGUUCUUAGGAUUUGAAGGAAACUUCUUUCCCCAGCUUACCUGCAUGGUUCUUCCGUUCUGGUGUAGGGACCAGCAGAACAAAGAACAUGAAGUAGAUGACGCACUUGUUGCUGCUGAUGGGAACGCAGAUCCUCUGAAUGUCGAGAUUCCCCUGGUUCCAUCCACUGCUCUUUGAGUCACUGAAUUCGUCAUAGAGCUCACUGUGUAUUGGUGCUCGCAUGUUCUCAUCUAUUCCCUCAUUGAUUUUUGUUUGCUGUUAUCCAGUUCUGGAGAUGGUGUUGCAGCUGUUGACUCCACAGAUGUUCAGGUGCGAAUGCUAUUCUCCCUGAUUUCAUUGCAUGUGCUGAGUUUUUGUAAUGUUGGCUCGGGGACUUUAUUAGAUUAUAAAAUUCUCUUCCGAUGAUAUGAUUCAAUAUCCGUUCUCUUUUAUAGGCAAAACCACCUGCCGUGCCUCCCGGGUAUUAUUUUACUCAUCUGUACCUUUUGUUUUCUUUUGCUGUGUUUUUCCAUUGUCCGUAUUGCUCCUGUGCAGCCAGCUGGUGACCUGCAAAAGUUGUUCAAAUCUGUGCUUGCAAAUUCCCUUUGGUUCUGCCUGCUGCACCGGCGAAGAAGGUUGUUCCUGGAAACAAACCAAAGACCAAGAUGUGAAAAAACUCUGAUUAUAGCCUAGAGCACUUUAGAAUGGCAUAGGUAAGCUCAUUGCUUGCUAUCCAUCUAAUUCGAUCGUUUCAUUUUUGUUUUCUCACCGUUGUAUUAAUUUGCUUUCCAGGUAUAUUAACCUUUUGCGUCUGUUGCUUUCGAUGGGUGGACUAUCUCCAUAUAAUGUUCGCCGUUAGUUCUUUUGGGUCGAUCGUCGAUGGGUGGACUAUCUCCAUAUAAUGUUCGCCGUUAGUUCUUUUGGGUCGAUCGUCGAGUCAGUUCUUUUGGGUCGAUCGCUACUAUUUGCGCUCUGAACAUG
rnacentral:lncRNA from 1 species